UACAGAGGUCUCAAGCGUUGUUCGGAUUCAUUGGCGUAAAGGGUGCGUAGGCGGCGUGGUAAGUCGGGGUGUGAAAUCUCGGAGCUUAACUCCGAAACUGCAUUCGAUACUGCCGUGCUUGAGGACUGGAGAGGAGACUGGAAUUUACGGUGUAGCGGUGAAAUGCGUAGAUAUCGUAAGGAAGACCAGUGGCGAAGGCGGGUCUCUGGACAGUUCCUGACGCUGAGGCACGAAGGCCAGGGGAGCAAACGGG
rnacentral:rRNA from 1 species